rnacentral:lncRNA from 10 species
CUAAUUAAAGAGAUGCCAUGCUCAUGGCUGGGAAGUUAAUGUAAAAACCAUCCUCCUCCCCCUCAUUAGUUAUAACUUUAAUGUAAUCUCAAUCAAAAUUGCAUGGGAUUUUCUAGAACUUGGUAAACUAAAAUUCAUAUGGGGGAGAAGGCAAUCAUCCUAAAAGUUUUAAAAGCUUACAAGAUAUUUAAAGAUCACCCUAAGACUCAGAUAAGAUGAAAUAUCCAGGGAGGGAAGUCAAUGUUAGGGCCACUUUUGUCCAAGGUGGUGUUUCCUGGCCUCGACGGUGACCCUGAGAGACUGCGUAUGGGGAACGAAGGAGUUGGAGUGUGGAGCUCUCGUGGGCAGGGGUGGAACAGUCCCUGCAAAGCUGCCCCAUGUGAACUUCAGCCUGGCUUCAAGCCAUCCCAAUGCUCCCAGAACCCCAAACCCUGAAAUUACAGUCAGGCGAUUGCAACAUUAAAACAUGUUUAUCUUCUUUAGACAAAAUACUCUAAACUGAGAUUCUUUAGUUAAUAGGUGUGAACAUUUUUAUGACAAUGGAUAUGUAUCAAUAUGUAUUUCAGUGUCAUCAUGUACUAAUGUAAACCAGUUUAAUGCUGCCCUAAAACAAUGUAUACCAAUUACACCAUCAUUUUCCAGAAGUGGGGAUUAUACUUUUAAAAAACUGCUUUAGUAAUUGAAAAUAGUAACUGCAGCCUCAGACUCCUGGGCUCAAGAGAUCCUUCUGCCCCUGCCCCGCAAGUAGCUGGGACUACAGGUGCACACCAUGCCUGGCUUCUCAUUUCUGUGCUAAUUACAUUUGUCAGUUGGCCUGUGAGUGUCCUGACAGUACUGGCUCCAGCAGCAGCUUCUGUUCCUGGCUUCUCAGGUAAGUUCUGAUUCUCUGCAUUCACCUGUCUCUCCAGUUUUCAGGAUAGCAGUUUGCCCCAUGACCUCAUUUCUCUGAUGGAUCUGAGAAGAGUUGUUGAUUUUCCAUUUGCUGAGCUUUUUUCUUGUUGUGGGGACAGCAGUGAUAACUUCCAAGCUCUUUACCUGUCAAAUCAUUAUCUUUUGAUAUUUGAAUGGUUUUAGUUUUACAUGUGGAUUUGUAUUCCAUCUGGAAUAUUUCUUUUAUGCAUUAUAUAAGGUAGAGAACUAACUUUUCUUAGUGAAAAUCUGUCAUUCCCCAUUUAUUUGGGAUGACUUCAUUAUACACAAAUAACCCACGUAAGUGUGUGUGCUCUGUGCUUCUCGUUCUCUUCCGUUGGCCUAUUUGCCUAUUCCUAACCACUUCCAUACUGUAGCUUUUUAAUACACCCUUCAAUGCUGGGUAGCGCAAACCCCCUCUGAUUCUUCCCGGCGAUUCUCUCGUGUUGCCUCUCCUCUGUAUUGGAACACAUUCCCUCCCUCCUGUCAGAUGUUAAUUACUUGUGUUCUUUUUCUUUUCUCUGCCAGACUUUCUAGAAGUUUUCUAGUUGUUUUACUCAUUUAUUUAAUCAUAUCUUUGGGAGUUUUUUAAAUUCAUAAAUGUAUCCUCACAUAUUUACUCAUUUGUUCCCUUUUUAGUUUUCUAUUUCUUGCUUCUUGAAUUAAAUGCUCAAUUCUUCUUUAUUAUACAAAUAAUACUACUGCAUUCCCAUUUGGAAAAUGUUCAGUCUGUACAGAAACACACAGAGGAAAAUGUGAGAGUUCCUUUACUUGCACCCCCACUUCCCAGUCCUCUCCCAGAAGUAAGAACCAUCAGCAGUUUUACCCAAACACGUUGCUUAUGCUCAAAUGUCAUUUUUAAAAUAAAUGACAUCAUACUCUUUGUACUGUUUUGACUUGCUUUUUAAAAAAUUUUACUUUGCAUAUGACUUAGAGAUAUUUUUGUUAUCAGUAUAGAUAUGUUUGCCUCAUUUCAGGUAAAGGUUACAUAAUAUUCCCUAGUACAGACAGGCUGUGUUUAAAUGAUAUACUCCAUUAUUGAAGGAUAUUUAGCUAGCUUUCCAACAGAAACUCUUCAGAUACCUGAAAAACAGUAUCUACAAGAAACAACCUUAGCCAGCAUGCGGACACAUGGACACUUCAGUUGCUGAAACACCGGAAUGCUUCCCGAUCCAUCGGUUGGUAGCAGGCCCCCAAUAUUCAUAUUUGACGACAAUAUGGUCCUCAACUUGGUACACACAUCCCAUAAAAGUUCAAAUACAAAACACACAUGCAAAAAGUGGUGGCUUUCGUGCACCCCAGGAAUCACUAAUGAAAAUGCAGUAUGAAAAACCACAAAGUGAGAAUUGGAGCUGAUUAUCUCUACUCUACCCCUCUGUGCAGACACUGUUCUGAAAGGUUUACUCAAGCAUUAAUUCACUUACUAUUCGCAGCAACCCAAGGAGGAUGUUCCAUUAUUAUCUCCACUUCACAAACCGGCCCAUAGUCACAUCUCUACUGAGUGGGAGAGCCAGCAAGGUUGCCCAGACAGCCUGGCUCCUGCAGAUCUGUCUUCUGCAUUGAAAACAUCAUAUUUACAGCAGCUACCAUAUUCUGAGGCAUGUUCCUAAUGCCAAAUGUGUAAGACGGAGGAAAUCACAUUCACUUAAAGGCAUUAUUUACUGGUGUUUGACUAACCUCUCCCAAAUCCACCCUUGGAUGACACCCACAAAGCCCUAGGCCAGGAGUCUGCCAGGACUCAGGCGGCAGGUCUCUCUUAGCCCACGAGGUCUGGGCCUCACUGGGAUGGCAGUGGGAAACCUGGCAUUCAGGGUAAUGUGUCAUGGGCACCCAGAAGACGCUCCCACUAUAAAACUUUGGGAAAUAAAGCAGUGAGGAGAUAGCCAUCCCCAACAGGUACCCCAGUGCUCACUCCCCAUGGGCAGCAGGUGCUGCGAACACUGAAGAAACAGUGCCUGAUUCAACAAGGACAGAAAGACCCCGGAGCGCAGAGACCAGGCAUCAUCGCUAACCACUAAAGCAAAGAGGGCACUGCCAGCUGACAACCAAGAGGAACUAUGGGAGUCUCCACCUGGAGCACAGAGACCAGGCAUCACCGCUAACCACUAAAGCAACGAGGGCACUGCCAGCUGACAACCAAGAGGAACUAUGGGAGUCUCCACCCGGAGCACAGAGACCAGGCAUCACCGCUAACCACUGAAGCAACGAGGGCACUGCCAGCUGACAACUAAGAGGACCCACAGGAGUCUCCAGGGGUUACUCACCAGCCCCAGGGCCGAGAACCUAAACAGCCAGGCAGUCUACCACAUGCUUACCUGGUCAAUAUAACCAGAGCAACUCCAGGCCUAGCAAGUGAGGUCUCACUUAGGCCUAACAAUGAAGUUACAGCUUCUCACCCAUUUCCUAAGGAAUCACCCAACACACAGAGCCUGGGGCUUCAGGAAGGAUACAGAUCAUUUCACCAGCACGCGCUCUUUUAACUCCCUUCCCUUUCCCAAAGGGUCUGUGGCCAUUUGCCAGAGAGCCUGGGCCUGGGAAGGCUGGCGUGAAGGGUGUCAGGAAAUCUAGGACAAAGACCAGACUAAUUCUAGCCCCUGCGAGGCAGGACACCGCAAUGUCCUCCAGUCACAGUGGGCCUCCAAGCCUAUGCUACAUUAUUUCUCAGGCACCCAGGUGUGUGGUUGGAAUAUUAACCCUCAAUACUGUGCAGAACUACCUCUCAGUUCCCCAAUAGGAAGAACACCUAUUCAGGCAUGAAGAGCAAAGUGACGUCUUAGAGCUCUCCCUCCUUACUUAAAUAUUAAAUCAAAAGCAAGACCAUGGAUAAGCAAUCUGUGGUAUAUUUUAAAAAUGGAAUAUUGCUCUAUAAUGAAAAGAAACAAAUUACUAAUGCGUGCAACAAAUGGGUGAAUCUUAACAGUAGUGUGCUGGGUGAGGGAAGCAGACACGAGUGCCUACUGUGCGCUUCCCUCACGAAGCCCGAGAACAGACAGAGCCACCUCAUGGAGACAGAAACCUGAAUACUGUGCGUCGCGUGGGAAAGGGCAGGCGAGUGCUUCCUGGCGUGGCAGAAACGUUCCCCAGCUUGACUGGAGCACAGGUCAUGUGGUUGAACACACUGUUCAAACUCAUCAAACUGUGCUUAAUAUCAGUGUAUUUUGUAGUGUAAAUUUCUAUUCAAGUGACGUCAAUUUUUCUGGUAUUUCAGAAAUUUGCACACCACAAUGACUGAACGCUGCCAGUGGGGAUUCCCGUCACCGGCCUGGCCCCAGUGUAUCUUCAAGAAUGACUCGUCUGGCACAGCGGGAGCAGGUGGUGGAUACGAGGGCCACUUUCCUCCAGUCUGGGAUUCUUACUGGACAAAUUAACACAGUACAAUCCCUGGUUUGAGGCUUGUACCUAAGAAUCUAACAAAUUGCUUUUUCUAUCCCAAUUAAGAGAAAGCACUAGAAACUAUUCCUUUUCUCAGCAGAGUCAUGGUGCAGACUGCAGCUUUGUCUCAGGCUAUGACACUCCGGCUUACUGUCAGGACUCAAACCAAACAGGACGCCUGGUCAGGCUGCCCUCUCCUCAACUUCCUCUCUCAGCAUCGAAAUCGCAGCGCGCCUCUCCCACCCUCAGGGGCCCACUGCCCAAUGACACCUGCCCAGCCUCCUCCUGGUGGCUAAGGGGCACCGCCUCAGCACCCCCAGGUCUGCCCCUCUUUGGGCAGGUCUCUGCCUCCUCCUCUGCCCCACACCCACCUGCUCCAUCCCCGCCCCACCCCAGUUCCCGUGUGGCAGAUGCUGUCCUGCAGCUCAGAGCCCAGCUCACCCUGAAAAUCUCCAAGGCCCAGCCAGGGGUCUGGCCCAGGCUUGCAGCCCACCCAGAGGAGCCCAGGGGACCUCUCGCCUCUGCCUGAGCCAUGCAGGCUUCAUCUUCCGUGGAUGAAGAGCUCAGCCUGGCCAGAGCCUCCCCAUGCUCCGCACUAAGACGUGCUUCUGAGACACCAUCCGGCAGGACAGGCUUUCAGUUGCCAAGGGCCCCACAGGCUGUCCCUGCUUCUGGAACUCUCUUCCCCUGGCCGGCCCCUCGUCCUUCAGCAGGAGGAAAACACUCUUUCACACAAGCCCUCCUUAUCUACCAGCCUGGGCUGCACCCGCAAAGGGUCUGUGUUUCGGGUUCCAGUGUGUGGCGGCGUGUGGUGGUGUGUGGCGGCAUGUGGUGAUGUGUGGCAGCAUGUCACAGUGCUCCAAGCUGUGAGUCGGGUGCCUUCCCUGGUGCUGCUCUCUCAGAAAGCUCUUCCUGCAUUUCCUGCAGUCCAGGAAGUUCUCAUCGGGACUGGCAGGGAGUUUGGAAUUUUGAGUUUUUAAGAAUCAGUUAGACACUUAUGCAGCCAAAAGACAUAUGAAAAAAUGCUCAUCAUCACUGGCCAUCAGAGAAAUGCAAAUCAAAA